GCGGCCGCGCCUCAGCGUCCAGGUGCGAGGCCGAGAGCCGCAGCCCGCCCGCCCGCCUACCUUCCUCAGCGCGGGUUGCCGGCCCCGGGCGACGCCAGGGGCCCUGACGACUUGGGAGGUGACCCUGUCCGCAGACGUGAAUUCCUGGUUUGGAAUAUACCUCUCCUUCACAUAGUCCUGGACUUCAGGGAAAGGAAGCUGACUCCAUCCAUCCCAUGCACCAAUAGAUUAUUUCCCCCUGUCUUUCUUGUGAACACAUGUCUGAGUUCUGGCCGGUGGACUCUCCUGUGCCUGUUCUAGGUCUGGUCCACAGAACCUUCCAUGUGCAACCCACCCUGCACUUCCCUUUCUUCAUCAGCCUUGAAAGCCAUGAGCUGGAGAUGCUGGAGGCACCAGAUGGAAGGAGCCUGUGUCCUUGAGUUGCUGCUUCGAUGAGAACUGCCUACAAAUCAGGGGCAUCAGCCUGGGACUUU